CAGCCGCCGCGGGAAUACGUAGGUCCCGAGCGUUGUCCGGAUUUAUUGGGCGUAAAGCGAGCGCAGGCGGUUAGAUAAGUCUGAAGUUAAAGGCUGUGGCUUAACCAUAGUACGCUUUGGAAACUGUUUAACUUGAGUGCAAGAGGGGAGAGUGGAAUUCCAUGUGUAGCGGUGGAAUGCGUAGAUAUAUGGAGGAACACCGGUGGCGAAAGCGGCUCUCUGGCUUGUAACUGACGCUGAGGCUCGAAAGCCAGGGGAGCGAACGGGAUUAGAGACCCGAGUAGUCCCUGUCUCUUAUACA
rnacentral:rRNA from 1 species